UACGUAGGGUCCAAGCGUUAAUCGGAAUUACUGGGCGUAAAGCGUGCGCAGGCGGUUCUGAAAGUCAGCUGUGAAAGCCCCGGGCUUAACCUGGGAAUUGCGGUUGAAACUACAGGGCUAGAAUCUGGCAGAGGGGGGUGGAAUUCCACGUGUAGCAGUGAAAUGCGUAGAGAUGUGGAGGAACACCGAUGGCGAAGGCAGCCCCCUGGGCUGAGAUUGACGCUCAGGCACGAAAGCGUGGGGAUCAAACAGG
rnacentral:rRNA from 1 species